UAGGGAAUCUUCGGCAAUGGACGAAAGUCUGACCGAGCAACGCCGCGGGAGUGAAGAAGGUUUUCGGAUCGUAAAACUCUGUUGUUAGAGAAGAACAAGGACGUUAGUAACUGAACGUCCCCUGACGGUAUCUAACCAGAAAGCCACGGCUAACUACGUGCCAGCAGCCGCGGUAAUACGUAGGUGGCAAGCGUUGUCCGGAUUUAUUGGGCGUAAAGCGAGCGCAGGCGGUUUCUUAAGUCUGAUGUGAAAGCCCCCGGCUCAACCGGGGAGGGUCAUUGGAAACUGGGCGACUUGAGUGCAGAAGAGGAGAGUGGAAUUCCAUGUGUAGCGGUGAAAUGCGUAGAUAUAUGGAGGAACACCAGUGGCGAAGGCGGCUCUCUGGUCUGUAACUGACGCUGAGGCUCGAAAGCGUGGGGAGCAAACAGG
rnacentral:rRNA from 1 species